CUUUCCUGUGCUGUCCUCAUGAUAGUGAGUAAGUCUCACACUAUCUGAUGGUUUUAAAAAGGGAAGUUUCCCUUCACAAGCUCAUUUCUUGCCUGCUGCCAUCCAUGUAAGAUGUGACUUGCUCCUCCUUGUCUUCCACCAUGAUUGUGAGGCUUCCAGCUACAUGAAACUGCUCAUAGGCAGGCGGUACUUGCCUUGUCCCAGAUGGGACUUUGGACUGUGGACUUUUGAGUUGAUGCAGAAGUGAGUUGAGACUUUGGGGGACUGCUGGGAAGGCAUGAUUGGUAUUGAAAUGUGAAGAUAUGAGAUUUGGGAGAGGCCAGGGGUGGAAUGAUAUGGUUUGGCUCUGUGUCCCCACCCAAAUCUCAUCUUGAAUUCCUAUGUGUUGUGGGAGGAACCUAGUGGGAGGUAAUUGAAUCAUGGGGGCAGGUCCUUCCCAUGCUGUUCUUGUGAUAGUGAAUAAGUCUCAUGAGAUCUGAUGGUUUUAAAAAGGGGAAUUUCCCUGCACAAUUGCUCUCGUCUUUUGCCUGCCACCAUCCACGUAAGAUGUGACUUGCUCCUCCUUCC
rnacentral:lncRNA from 1 species